CUCCCAACCCAAUGUGAACGUUACCAAACUGUUGCCUCGGCGGGAUCUCUGCCCCGGGUGCGUCGCAGCCCCGGACCAAGGCGCCCGCCGGAGGACCAACCAAAACUCUUUUUGUAUACCCCCUCGCGGGUUUUUUUAUAAUCUGAGCCUUCUCGGCGCCUCUCGUAGGCGUUUCGAAAAUGAAUCAAAACUUUCAACAACGGAUCUCUUGGUUCUGGCAUCGAUGAAGAACGCAGCGAAAUGCGAUAAGUAAUGUGAAUUGCAGAAUUCAGUGAAUCAUCGAAUCUUUGAACGCACAUUGCGCCCGCCAGUAUUCUGGCGGGCAUGCCUGUCCGAGCGUCAUUUCAACCCUCGAACCCCUCCGGGGGGUCGGCGUUGGGGAUCGGCCCUGCCUCUUGGCGGUGGCCGUCUCCGAAAUACAGUGGCGGUCUCGCCGCAGCCUCUCCUGCGCAGUAGUUUGCACACUCGCAUCGGGAGCGCGGCGCGUCCACAGCCGUUAAACACCCAACUUCUGAAAUGUUGACCUCGGAUCAGGUAGGAAUACCCGCUGAACUUAAGCAUAUCAAUAAGCGGAAGAA
rnacentral:rRNA from 1 species